rnacentral:rRNA from 1 species
AGAGUUUGAUCCUGGCUCAGGACGAACGCUGGCGGCGUGCCUAAUACAUGCAAGUCGAGCGGAAUGAUGAAGAAGCUUGCUUCUUCCGAUUUUAGCGGCGGACGGGUGAGUAACACGUGGGCAACCUACCUUGUAGAUUGGGAUAACUCCGGGAAACCGGGGCUAAUACCGAAUAAUCCAUUUUGCUUCAUGGCAAGAUGUUGAAAGGCGGCUUCGGCUGUCACUACGAGAUGGGCCCGCGGCGUAUUAGCUAGUUGGUAGGGUAAUGGCCUACCAAGGCGACGAUACGUAGCCGACCUGAGAGGGUGAUCGGCCACACUGGGACUGAGACACGGCCCAGACUCCUACGGGAGGCAGCAGUAGGGAAUCUUCCACAAUGGACGAAAGUCUGAUGGAGCAACGCCGCGUGAGUGAAGAAGGUUUUCGGAUCGUAAAACUCUGUUGUAAGGGAAGAACACGUACGAGAGUAACUGCUCGUACCUUGACCGUACCUUAUUAGAAAGCCACGGCUAACUACGUGCCAGCAGCCGCGGUAAUACGUAGGUGGCAAGCGUUGUCCGGAAUUAUUGGGCGUAAAGCGCGCGCAGGCGGUUCUUUAAGUCUGAUGUGAAAGCCCACGGCUCAACGUGGAGGGUCAUUGAUACUGGAGAACUGGAGUGCUGACGAGGAAAGCGGAAUCCACGUGUAGCGGUGAAAUGCGUAAGAUGUGGAGGAACCCAGUGGCGAAGCGGCUUCUGGUGGUACUGACCCUAGCUCCAAGCCUGGGACAACGG